AAACUGGGGUUAAUUCCCGAUGGGUGAGGAGGCCUGGAAUGGUUCUUCACUGAAAGGGCGCUAGAGGCAUGCUCUCUAACGUUGCCCAAGGAUGGGGCCGCGGCCGAUCAGGUUGUUGGUGAGGUAACGGCUUACCAAGCCUAUAACCGGUACGGGCCGUGAGAGCGGAAGCCCGGAGAUGGGCACUGAGAUAAGGGCCCAGGCCCUACGGGGCGCAGCAGUUGCGAAAACUCCGCAAUGCACGAAAGUGUGACGGGGCUACCCCGAGUGCCGUCCGCUGAGGAUGGCUUUUCUCCGCUGUAAGGAGGCGGAGGAAUAAGGAGAGGGCAAGACUGGUGUCAGCCGCCGCGGUAAUACCAGCUCUCCGAGUGGUAGGGGUGAUUAUUGGGCUUAAAGCGUCCGUAGCCGGCCUGGCAAGUCUUCCGUUAAAUCCAGCAACCUAAUUGUUGGGCUGCGGGGGAUACUGUUAGGCUUGGGGGCGGGAGAGGCCGACGGUAUUCUCNGGGGUAGGGGUGAAAUCUUAUAAUCCCCAAGAGGACACAUGNGGGNAA
rnacentral:rRNA from 1 species